GCCCCAGCUCCCGGAGAUAAGCUGCCGUGUGCGGAUGGUCUCGAUGAAGGUGCAAGGCUGCUGUGGCGGCGUGACAAGCCUGCGCUACCAGUGCGCCGGUGGGCCAGGAAAAGGGAGCCUGAGAUAGAUCCUUUCGUAAUACUAAGUACUGUACAAGGAUCUGUGGCUCCACCCCAGAGCAUGCCAUCUUCCUGAUCAUCAGACUGGCCGGACGUACCUUGCGGUGCAUGCUGGGAUUAGUGUGGAGCUGCUGGGCGCCACCAUGUUCGUGUACGGCGGAAGCACAAAGCACUCUGGGAUCAGUGGGUUACGUUGUUACUUCAGUUGCUCUCGGCGGGAAUUCUUAAACUGCAUCCUGAGUGAGGGAGCUUUGGCGAGAAAGCAAGACCCAGUGGUAGACAGAUUAGCAUUACUGUACAGCUUCUUUGGGUGUUCGAGGAAGCCCGGCUGGACCAUAGUGGCCACGGCGGUGAGGUAGGCGUGGACAGGGCUGACCAGUCCAAGUUAAGGACGUUCGGGUCCAUGUUAACCCUGCCUUGUACGUCCAGCAUCGUAAGAAAAAACACUUGAGAACCCGAAGAGGAGAUGGAGUCUGCAAAUACUUUGUGUCCAGGCAGGAAGUGCAAAGGAGGUGUUUUAGCUCACCUGGAAAGACUAGAGGCUCAAACGAACAUAUCGAAUAGAAAGUCUGAAGAACCAGCAGUUCGUAAAAAGGAAAGUUCUCUUAGAACCAAGAUUCGAGAACUGCGGCAACAACGAGAUAAGCUGAGGGCAGAAGUGAAGCAGUGGGGAGCCAGAGUUAAAGAACCUCCUGCCAAAGAAGACCCAAGCAGAACCGUGAUCAGUGAACAGGAAGUUCUGGAAAGGGAGUGGAGAAAUGUGGACGCCAUUCUGGAGGCAUAUCGCUUUACGGGGCUCAGCGGGAAGUUGACCAGUCGUGGCGUCUGCAUGUGCAUCAGCACAGCCUUUGAGGGGAACCUACUAGAUUCCUACUUUGUGGACCUCGUCAUAGAGAAACCACUCCGGAUUCAUCACCAUUCCGUCCCAGUCUUCAUCCCUCUGGAAAAGAUAGCCGCAGCACACCUACAGACUGAUGUUCAGCGCUUCCUGUUUAGACUCUGGGAAUACCUAAAUGCCUACGCGGGGAGGAAGUACCAGGCAGACCAACUUGAGAAUUGGACAGCGGACUCACCGAGCCGUUGAGGCCAUUUUGGGCUGUUUUCUUCACCUCUGGCUUGGAGGCAAUGAUGAGGUAGGUUUCGAUGCCCUUCUCAUCUAGGUAGUCGCAGCGACUGCCCCCAUCACCAGGCUCCACAUCAAACUCCCCCUUCAGGCAGUCCAUGGUGCUCUGGGAAAUGUGCACGCGCCUGCGGCGCAAUGAGAAACCCUGAGCAUGCUCCAGAGAUAGGCCUUGCCUGCCCCAGAGACAGACAGCAGACCACAUAGCACUGACUGGUACUGGGGCGAGUGACUCCAGGGUAUAUUUGGUAGGGAUCAAGGGAGCAGACCUGCUGUUGGCUAACUGUAUGGGCAGCACAGAGCCCAGUGCUCUGAGCUUUGGUCCCAGAGGCUGGUGAAUUCUUAGAACAGGAAUGUAAUUUUCCUUCCUGGUUGUUAAGAGUAUGAGAUGAGGGGCUAAAGAAAUGGCUCAGUUCUUCCAGAGGACCAGAGUUUGUUUCCGGCAGUUCACAGCCACCUAUAACUCCAACUCCAGAGGACCCAAUGCCUCUGGUCUCUGUAGGUAUCUGCACAACAUGUAUGCACACCCACAUACAGAUACAUAUAUAUGUGAAAAUAAUAAAAAUAAAUCAUUUAAGUAUCAAAUGAGAUACUAAAUUUCAAUACCAGCUCUGAAUGCUAACUUCAAGAAUUAGAUUCUCACCGGGAGGUGGUGGCGCACCCCUUUAAUCCCAGCACUUGGGAGGCAGAGGCAGGCAGAUUUCUGAGUUCGAGGCCAGCCUGGUCUACAGAGUGAGUUCCAGGACAGCCAAGGCUACACAGAGAAACCCUGUCUCGAGAAACAAAAACAAACAAACAAACAAACAAAAGAGAGAAUUAGAUUCUCUCUACCUUGCCUGCCCUGCUGCCAAGGGGACUAAAAGCCAAACAGUCACUAAGGAACUGCCUCUAAUGAGGCCCCAAAGGCAGGAAAGAUGGGCCAGGCCUCCUGCAUCCUGCCCAGACAGGCAGGUACCUGUCUCCCAGUCACAGCUGGGUGUGCAGGUGUGCUGCUUAAUUUUUGUUUGUUUGUUUGUUUGUUUGGUCAACUCCACACAACCUAGAGUCACCCAAGGAUAAGGAAUUUCAGUUGAGGAACUGCCCAGAUCCUAUUAACCUGUGGCCAUGUCUGAAAAAAAAUUAUCCUGACUAGUGAAUGGUGUGGGUGGCACCAUUCCUCUGACCUAGGCAGGUGGCUCUGAACUGUACAAGAAAACUAGCUGACAGGAGGAAGAGAUUGAGCUAGUAAACUUCCAUGGCUUCUGCCUCACUUCCUUCUCUGACUUCCCUUAAUGAUAAACUGGAAGUAUAAGCCAAAUAAAUACUUUCUUCUCCAGGUUGUUUUUGGGCAGAGUUUUGAAUAUAGGACGAAGAAUAAAGCUGCAACACAGGAACAGAAAGUAGGAAUACUGCUCCUGGGGGGAAUGGGAGUUUUGGACCCCUUGGCCACAGCCCCGAGAGUGGAUGGGACGGUUCCCCUCCCUUGGUCCUUAUACCAACCCCAUUGGAAGGAGUACUCACCCUGGGAUGCCACCAGCCUCCAUCUUGUUUGCCACGGUGACAUCAGUAGACCAUACAUCAUACUGCCAGCGCUUCUGGCCCAGGACACCGCCUAGGACAGUGCCUGUGUGCACUCCCACACGCAUGUCCACUCCAGUCUUGGUCUUCUCCCGCACGUACCUGCCAGUCACAGAGAAGCGGUGCUGGGUGAGGCAUGCCAUCGUGCGGUGCCCAGCAGCCUUUGCCCUCACAGGUGGAUUCCUCCCCCAGACUGAGAGGGCCUAGAAUGUCCUCUCUGGCUUUCUGCCUGAGCUAAGUGGCUUGCACUAGGGUUAAUGGAGGCUAGGGUCCAGAUUCAGUGAUGACAGGCAUGGGGGACAGGUAACACACCAGAGGACCUCCUAUUUCUCUCUUCUGUUCCUCAUUCAUUCAUAAAAGUAAUGCCUCACUGAGUGUGUGUCUGGUGUGUUCUACAUGUGGCAGACACAGCUAGAUCCUUGCCUGAGAACUCCAGGAGUGACAAACACGAAAUUCAGAGAUUUGCUGUCAGGUCCAAAAGAAACUCAGGACAAAUGGCUAACUGUGGUUCCUAUUAGCAUACCAAAGGGCAUGCUGGCUUCCAUGUUCUUUCAGCAUUGUGAGUAUCUGUUCCAGAGUCCAUGCCGGCAUCCUGGCUCUCACCCCACCCCAUCCCAAACCUCCAGCUCAUGGGCGUCCCUUCCCCUGGCUUCCUAUGACACUGACUUUUGGCCAUGCACUGUCUUGUCUCCUCCUCUGCCCCCAUCUCCCUCUCUUCGUUUCUUGCUCCCCCACCCCCAUGGCUAACUGCAGUCUGAUGGCCAUGUACUGUCCACUGCUUUCCCUCCCUGCCCCAGACGCUUCGGUGCCUCUGGCUGUUCUGUCCCUCACACCUAUAGUAAAAACCUUGCCCUCAAACACACCUCGGAGCAGUCGUGUUCUCAGUUUGUAUCUGCCUGCUGGGUUGGGAGGGAGGCUGAACCUUUCAAUCCUAAUCUAAUGGCUAUGGAGGAAAAAGGCAGGGGACAUGAGAGGGGCUUCAAGCAGGAAGACGUAAGAAUUCACGGCUGCCCAGAGAUGGACUGCAUGGGUAUCCCAGGCUCUGACCCUGAGGGGAGUAGCCUCCUGGAAGCUUUCUCUCCUACCUCAGGCUCCAUGGUCCCCCAAGUUACCACACGUGGAGUCUAACUGAGGACUGCCUUUCUAGAGCCUUCCAGGCCCAUGUGGAGCAGUGAUGUGGUGCGUGAGUGAGGGAAGGGAGUUCACCCACAGGUGAAAGCACAGCCCGGGCCAGAACAGAGGAUGCUGCAAAUGGAGAGGGCCACAGGCAGUGAGACGCCAGACAGCGGCUCACCACCCACUCCCGCCAGCAGGGAAAGGUCUUUCUCAAUUCUACUGCGGUGAGAGCCUGGCACAGCUUGGACUCGCAAGCUUAUCCUCUGCAAAGGCCCCAGGUCCUGUCUGCUGACCACUACCCCACAGCCUUCCGAUUCUCUCUUGCCCCUGGCCUCAAAGGGUUAGGUGGCCAGCAGGAGCCUCUUUCUGGGUGAUACUUAUUCACCUGCAGGUGAGGUGCCAGGCAGGUGAUGCACGACUCACCCUGCCAUCUACUGCUAUGGCUACUCCCGCUUGGCUCAGGGGACCCAAGGUGCACACUGUAGGGUGGCCUUGCCUCUCAUCCUCAGUCGAUCCCGUGACGCACUUCGUCUCCCCGCCACCAUACCUGACAUUCUCGUGCCGGUACAUGUACAUGGUAUUGAACUGCUGCUGGUCCUUCUGGCUCUCGUCCUUCUUCAUGUCCUUCAGCAUCUCGUCAGCCACGUGCUUGGGCAGGAUGGAAAGCAUAAGGUUUUCCUGCGAGGAGAAGCAUGGGGUUGGAGGGGGAUGGCCUGUACUCCUCCAAGUUCAGACAACUCUGAUCCUGAUCCAGGCGACGGAUGUCAUCCAGGAACUACUCAGCCUUGCAUGGAGGCCCCAAGGCCCGCCCGUAUGGCAGCAGCCAAAGGCCAGCCUGGGUGGUUUCUCACCCCGACAAGGCUCAGCAUCAUGGCAGCCCUGCAUAACAACUGACAGGCACAGGCAGUGUCACCGAGGAACAACGUGCUCCUCUUUCUAUAAGAAGUGUGACCUUCCCUGUGUCCUCCACACUACCAGUCCCUCACUGCUAGGUCCUCUUCAUGUCUGCCACAGCACCUUUACAGCGCAAUCACCAACCUGACUGAAGUCCUAGGACACAUAAGGGAACCCCGGAACCAGCAAGAAUUCUACCUGAGUCUAAGGUCUCCUGAGGACACAGGUCAGAAUUACAGCACAGUGUGACACACUGUGGCCCACCAUUGAGAAAAUGGAGGCAGCUUGCUGAGAAUGGAGACCGUGGAGACCACCAAAGCAGGGAAGAGAGUACGAGUACCACGUGAGGAAGGGGUCAAAACCCACCACUCGAGCCAGGGGCCUUCCCAGAAGUGAGACAGAGCUAAGUCUUGAAGGACUUCCUGAGUGAGCAAGCCACCUAUUCAAGCAGACACGCAAGAAAAAUCCUCCAGGGCUCAACCAAGAACUGGCAUCCUGGCCUGUGGGCCAAAUGUGUUUGCUGUCUGCUUUCAUAAAGUUUUAUUGGCACCGA